rnacentral:tRNA from 1 species
GCGGAAGUGGCGAAAUUGGCAUACGCGCGGGCUUUAGGUGCCCGUGCCCGAGAGGGCGUGGGGGUUCAAGUCCCCUCUUCCGCA